CCAGCCACCCUCAUGUCUGGGCUUCUGGGCUUGCAUCUUCCCUCUACCUCUAUACUCCAAGUUCCUGGCUGGCACUGGAAUUACAUCCUUAGAAGGCGCAUCAUAACCUCCAGGUGAGGUGAAUAUGAUUACUCUCAUUUCUAAAAUCAACAAUCUGAAGCUCCAAAGAGAGUAGGUCAUAUUUCUGAGAUCAUAGUACUAGUAAGUGCUGUGUUUUUGAUAAUUCAUUCUAAUGGGCUCCAAAGCCCACUUUCUUUCAUCUACCACACUGUCCCCAAGAUGAACAGGGAAAAGCCAUACUUCAGCCUGAUAUAUUGUAGGCAAUGGUACGUGUAAAGCUGGUGUCACAUUUCAGAAAAUGGGGUUAAGUUUAGAAUCUGAGUAAUUAUACCCACAGUUUGAAUUUGAAUCUCACAUCCUUUUAUUUUUUACUGCUGCAAUUUCUGUUAUCUUUAAUGAUUAUCUAAAUGUAUUCUUCCCUUGGUAAAAUUUAGCCACUAAGAGUACUAAGAGAGUUUGUUUCCUUUGUAAGAGGUCAGAAUUAUACAAUGAAUUUAUAAUGUCAAGGCAAUAGCUUUUAUUUUAUCCUAAAAUAUAGAGGAAAAGGUCAUUGCCCUUGCUGUAAGAGUUUACCAUGUGUUAUUGAUAACAUGCCUGAGCUCUAUUGGUGAAAAACCGUUGUGGACUUUGAAAGUCAGUUAUUUAUAAUUAAGAGAGUAUUGUUCUCUCUUUGGGUGCAGCUGAUUGUUUAAAAUAGAACUUAGGAUUUUUCUGCAUAGAUUUUAUAUUUCAGAAUGAGCUUUGUUUUAAAAGGUAUGUUAUAUUUGCAUUCAUGCAAGUUGUGCAAUCAUUAAAUUGACAGGAAAGCAGCUGUUAAUAGUUGUCAUUUGGACAUGUAGAUGGA
rnacentral:lncRNA from 1 species